rnacentral:rRNA from 1 species
GAUGAACGCUGGCGGCGUGCCUAAUACAUGCAAGUCGAGCGAACAGAUGAGGAGCUUGCUCCUCUGACGUUAGCGGCGGACGGGUGAGUAACACGUGGAUAACCUACCUAUAUGACUGGGAUAACUUCGGGAAACCGGAGUUAAUACCGGAUAAUAUAUUUAACCGCAUGGUCCAAUAGUGAAAGACGGUUUUGCUGUCACUUAUAGAUGGAUCCGCGCCGCAUUAGCUAGUUGGUAAGGUAACGGCUUACCAAGGCAACGAUGCGUAGCCGACCCGAGAGGGUGAUCGGCCACAUUGGAACUGAAACACGGCCCAGACUCCUACGGGAGGAAGCAGUAGGGAAUCUUCCGCAAUGGGCGAAAGCCUGACGGAGCAACGCCGCGUGAGUGAGGAAGGUCUUGGGAUCGUAAAACUCGGUUAUUAGGGAAGAACAAAUGUGUAAGUAACUAUGCACGGCUUGACGGUACCUAAUCAGAAAGCCACGGCUAACUACGUG